CCUACGGGACGCAGCAGUGAGGAAUAUUGGUCAAUGGGCGGAAGCCUGAACCAGCCAAGUCGCGUGAGGGAAUAAGGCCCUACGGGUCGUAAAUCUCUUUUGCCGGGGAGCAAGGGCCGGGACGCGUCCCGGCCCGGAGAGUACCCGGAGAAAAAGCAUCGGCUAACUCCGUGCCAGCAGCCGCGGUAAUACGGAGGAUGCGAGCGUUAUCCGGAUUUAUUGGGUUUAAAGGGUGCGCAGGCGGGAGAUCAAGUCAGCGGUAAAAUGUCGGGGCUCAACCCCGGCCGGCCGUUGAAACUGGGUUU
rnacentral:rRNA from 1 species